rnacentral:rRNA from 1 species
UACGGGGGGAGCAAGCGUUGUUCGGAUUUACUGGGCGUAAAGGGCGCGUAGGCGGCCACCGCAAGUCAGUUGUGAAAUCUCUGGGCUUAACCCAGAAAGGUCAACUGAUACUGCGGGGCUAGAGUGCAGAAGGGGCAACUGGAAUUCUCGGUGUAGCGGUGAAACGCGUAGAUAUGCGGAGGAACACCGAUGGCGAAGGCAAUCCCCUGGGCCUGCACUGACGCUCAUGCACGAAAGCGUGGGGAGCAAACAGG